AGAGUUUGAUCCUGGCUCAGAAUCAACGCUGGCGGCGUGCCUAACACAUGCAAGUCGAACGCGAAAGUGGAGCAAUCCAUGAGUAGAGUGGCAAACGGGUGAGUAACACGUGGGUGACCUGCCUUCGAGUGGGGGAUAACUUUCCGAAAGGAAGGCUAAUACCGCAUGACAUACCGUGUUCAGAUACACGGAUAUCAAAGCUGGGGAUCGCAAGACCUGGCGCUUGAAGAGGGGCCCGCGUCCGAUUAGCUAGUUGGUGAGGUAACGGCUCACCAAGGCUCCGAUCGGUAUCCGGCCUGAGAGGGCGGACGGACACACUGGAACUGAGACACGGUCCAGACUCCUACGGGAGGCAGCAGUGGGGAAUUGUUCGCAAUGGGCGAAAGCCUGACGACGCAACGCCGCGUGGAGGAUGAAGAAUUUCGGUUCGUAAACUCCUUUCGACCGAGAUGAACAUCCCGCGAUCUAAUAAGUCGUGGGACUGACAGUAUCGAGAGAAGAAGCCCCGGCUAAUUCUGUGCCAGCAGCCGCGGUAAUACAGGGGGGGCAAGCGUUGUUCGGAAUUACUGGGCGUAAAGGGUUCGUAGGUGGCCAACUAAGUCAGACGUGAAAUCCCUCAGCUUAACUGGGGAACUGCGUCUGAUACUGGUUGGCUUGAGUGCAGGAGAGGAAUGCGGAAUUCCAGGUGUAGCGGUGAAAUGCGUAGAUAUCUGGAGGAACACCGGCGGCGAAAGCGGCAUUCUGGACUGUAACUGACACUGAGGAACGAAAGCCAGGGGAGCAAACGGGAUUAGAUACCCCGGUAGUCCUGGCCCUAAACGAUGAAUGCUUGGUGUGGCGGGUAUCGAUCCCUGCCGUGCCGAAGUUAACGCAUUAAGCAUUCCGCCUGGGGAGUACGGUCGCAAGGCUGAAACUCAAAGGAAUUGACGG
rnacentral:rRNA from 1 species